rnacentral:sRNA from 1 species
CCUGACGAGGAUGAGAACCUCCGGGGGCAAGAGGUUCGACCCGAGCGAAGCGAGAGAACGUUGCGCCAGCAACGGCCCGCAGGGCGAGCCACGUAGUGGCGAGUCAUCCUCUAUCACCGACCA